rnacentral:rRNA from 1 species
UACGUAGGGACCAAGCGUUGUUCGGAUUUACUGGGCGUAAAGGGCGCGUAGGCGGCUUGACAAGUCACUUGUGAAAUCUCCGGGCUUAACUCGGAACGGCCGAGUGAAACUGUCAUGCUAGAGUGCAGAAGGGGCAAUCGGAAUUCUUGGUGUAGCGGUGAAAUGCGUAGAUAUCAAGAGGAACACCUGAGGUGAAGACGGGUUGCUGGGCCGACACUGACGCUGAGUGCGCGAAAGCCAGGGGAGCAAACGGG